GUCCACGCUGUAAACGAUGAACACUCGCUGUUGGCGAUACACAGCCAGCGGCUAAGCGAAAGCAUUAAGUGUUCCACCUGGGAAGUACGACCGCAAGGUUGAAACUCAAAGGAAUUGACGGGGGCCCGCACAAGCGGAGGAGCAUGUGGUUUAAUUCGAUGGUACGCGAGGAACCUUACCUGGGCUUGAAAGACCAAUGACAGUCCCUGAAAGGGGAUUUUCCGCAAGGACAGUGGUCUAGGUGCUGCAUGGCUGUCGU
rnacentral:rRNA from 1 species